AGUAAACACGCCCACGCACAAAAAGGCAGCUGAAUCCCGCUCUGAAUCCUGAUUUUUAUGUUGUUGUUGAUGCCACACCCUGGGCUUUUUCGGGUGGCCGGGAUGUUUUUGUGAGCUCAUGCCACAGGUAAUCUUGAACACUUGAAGAUGAAGAAAAUCUGGUCCAAGAAGAGAUUUCAGAGAACUGGGCAUUCCACACGGACAUUUGGCAGAUUUACCCAUGCUUUCAAUGGCAUGCGCUUCAGUUGGAACAACUCUACAUAAAAGCUGUUUUUUUACGUAUGUUUUAAAAACACCUGUAUUGCUUCUGUGUAUGUUCUACUGCUCGACUCCAGCAAGAAAGUGGGGCUCAUUCUUGUACAUCCACCCCC
ensembl:lncRNA